CUUAAAGAAGCCAAAUCACUGCCUGAGCUUGUGUCACACGCGCCCUGAACACUGGUCCCCCAGCCUCAGGGCAGAGCAGCAUCCUCGAGGGAGGAGCGCUGGCUGGUCCUGUGACAGAGCGCGACCGUGUACCGAGCUCUCCACUGAACCCUGGGAGUGUUGUAGGACCAAAGGUUUGGUCUCCACACUGACGAAGCUCCCACGCCGGCAGACAAUUCCUGCUACUACACUAGCAGUAUCCACGAGUGAUGACAAUAAAAAGGGAUGCGUGCAGGGAGGGGAAAUGUGGGGUGCAGGAAAACAGAGGGCAUGUCAAGGAAGACCUCCCUGAGCUGGGACCAGACCUGUGAGUCCCAAUAAAAUGCACGGCGGCAGCCAAGAUGCACUGUGGGACCGGUCACACAUCUUACAACAACCUGGGAGAUUCGCAGAAGACACAGGCAGCCGUCUUAUCAUGAAAAUCUUCCAGGUUCUUAAUCGCAUAAUGUAUGUAAUGUAAGUACCUAUCUUA